rnacentral:rRNA from 1 species
GAUGAACGCUGGCGGCGUGCCUAAUACAUGCAAGUCGAGCGAACAGACGAGGAGCUUGCUCCUCUGACGUUAGCGGCGGACGGGUGAGUAACACGUGGAUAACCUACCUAUAAGACUGGGAUAACUUCGGGAAACCGGAGCUAAUACCGGAUAAUAUAUUGAACCGCUUGGUUCAAUAGUGAAAGACGGUUUUGCUGUCACUUAUAGAUGGAUCCGCGCCGCAUUAGCUAGUUGGUAAGGUAACGGCUUACCAAGGCAACGAUGCGUAGCCGACCUGAGAGGGUGAUCGGCCACACUGGAACUGAGACAAGGUCCAGACUCCUACGGGAGGCAGCAGUCGGGAAUCUUCCGCAAUGGGCGAAAGCCUGACGGAGCAACGCCGCGUGAGUGAUGAAGGUCUUCGGAUCGUAAAACUCUGUUAUUAGGGAAGAACAAAUGUGUAAGUAACUAUGCACGUCUUGACGGUACCUAAUCAGAAAGCCACGGAUAACUACGUG